rnacentral:rRNA from 1 species
AGAGUUUGAUCAUGGCUCAGGACGAACGCUUGCGGCGUGCCUAAGAAAUGCAAGUCGAACGGUGUAGCAAUACAUAGUGGCGAACGGUCGCGUAACACGUAAGCAACCUGCCCGAAAGUGGGGGACAACAUCCCGAAAGGGGUGCUAAUACCGCAUGUGGUUGUUUUCUCGCAUGAGAGAACAUCUAAAGCCUUGUGCGCUUUCGGAUGGGCUUGCGGCCUAUCAGGUAGAUGGUGGGGUAACGGCCUACCAUGCCUUUGACGGGUAGCUGGUCUGAGAGGAUGUCCAGCCGGAUUGGGACUGAGAUACGGCCCAGACUCCUACGGGGGGCAGCAAUUAGGAAUCUUGCACAAUGGGGGAAACCCUGAUGCAGCGACGCCGCGUGAGGGAUGACGGAUUUCGGUCUGUAAACCUCUUUUAUCGGGGACGAAGAAUGUGACGGUACCCGAAGAAUAAGCCCCGGCUAACUACGUGCCAGCCGCCGCGGUAAUUC